AGUAAAUAGAUACCCCGGGUAGUCCACGCCGUAAACGAUGAGUACUAGGUGUAGGAGGUAUCGACUCCUUCUGUGCCGCAGUUAAACACAAUAAGUACUCCGCCUGGGAAGUACGGUCGCAAGAUUAAAACUCAAAGGAAUUGACGGGGGCCCGGCCACAAGCAGCGGAGCAUGUGGUUUAAAUUCGAAGCAACGCGAAGAACCUUACCUAGACUUGACAUCUCCUGAAUAGUGUAGAGAUACAUGAAGCCCUUCGGGGUCGAGGAAGACAGGUGGUGCAUGGUUGGUCGCCACGCUCGUGUCGUGAGAUGUUGGGUUAAGUCCCGC
rnacentral:rRNA from 1 species